CCUACGGGAGGCAGCAGUGAGGAAUAUUGGUCAAUGGACGAGAGUCUGAACCAGCCAAGUAGCGUGAAGGAUGACUGCCCUAUGGGUUGUAAACUUCUUUUAUAUGGGAAUAAAACGUUCCACGUGUGGGAUUUUGUAUGUAUCAUAUGAAUAAGGAUCGGCUAACUCCGUGCCAGCAGCCGCGGUAAUACGGAGGAGCCGAGCGUUAUCCGGAUUUAUUGGGUGUAAAGGGAGCGGAGGUGGAUUGUUAAGUCAGUUGUGAAAGUUUGCGGCUCAACCGUAAAAUUGCAGUUGAAACUGGCAGUCUUGAGUACAGUAGAGGUGGGCGGAAUUCGUGGUGUAGCGGUGAAAUGCUUAGAUAUCACGAAGAACUCCGAUUGCGAAGGCAGUUCACUGGACUGCAACUGACACUGAGGCUCGAAAGUGUGGGUAUCAAACAGGAUUAGAUACCCUUGUAGUC
rnacentral:rRNA from 1 species